AAUCCAUGUUGCGAGCAUUUUCUCAGGAGUUCCUUGAACAUUUUUCCACGUCUCAAAUAGAGACUCCAAUUCCAACUACACAAACGAUGAGAUCUCAUUCCUAAGCUU